GCCGUCCGUUACGUCUCGAGACCUCUCGUAAUGAAAGUACUCGGUUCAGAACAGGAAUAAUAAUGUGAAGCAAAUGAAAACGAAGGCGUCUAGGCAAGGUUUGCGGUAGAAGGAACAACGUACUGCUAUCUUGUGAAGAAGUGUUGCCAGGGCGACAGGCCUGGAAAUGGGCAAGUGACAGGAAAGGGGAGAGACCAUGUGGUGCAGGCUGGGAUCUGGAGAAGAAAAGAGGAGAAUUAGAGGAAGGUGUAAGAGGUUGCCUUGCUGAGCAGCCUUGCACAAGCAGGGAAUCUGAGACAGACUGCGGGAACAUUUGGGAGCAGCCCUGCUGGAAUGCCAACACAGCAGCUGAAGGCUGUUCCCCAUCGCUGCCAUUACCACCUAAGCUCUGCCUCCUGUCAGAUCAGCAGCAUUAGAUUCUCAUAAGAGCUUGAACCCUGCACUGAACUGUGCAUUCGAGGGAUAAGCUUGGUCACCCUUUGAAUCACCCUGAAACACAUACCCCUCAACAUGGAAAAAUUGUCUUCGAUGAAACCCAU
rnacentral:lncRNA from 1 species